rnacentral:sRNA from 1 species
CUUCCAGAACAAAGCGUGGGCCCCACAUGGUGCUACCUCCCAGCAAGAAAGGGGUUGGGAAACAAAGGGCUGGGGCCCAGUGAGCCCCCCGAUUUAUGUUUUCCAGACCUGUCUUCCUCGCUGGAAGUUUUGCGUGAGUGACACAGAAAACAACCUGGGCUUUGCGUUGGGCCCCAUGUUCGUCAAAGCAACCUUCGCCGAGGACAGCAAGAGCAUAGCCACCGAAAUAAUCCUGGAGAUCAAGAAGGCAUUUGAGGAAAGCCUGAGCACCCUGAAAUGGAUGGAUGAGGAAACCCGAAAAUCAGCCAAGGAAAAGGCCGAUGCCAUCUACAACAUGAUAGGAUACCCCAACUUCAUCAUGGAUCCCAAGGAGCUGGACAAAGUGUUUAAUGACUACACCGCAGUUCCAGACCUCUACUUUGAAAAUGCCAUGCGGUUUUUCAACUUCUCAUGGAGGGUCACUGCCGACCAGCUCAGGAAAGCCCC